AUACGGAGGGUGCAAGCGUUAUUCGGAAUCACUGGGCGUAAAGGACGCGUAGGCGGGUUGGCAAGUCAGAUGUGAAAUCCUACAGCUUAACUGUAGAACUGCAUUUGAAACUGCUAACCUAGAGUAUGGGAGGGGGAGAUGGAAUUAGUGGUGUAGGGGUAAAAUCCGUAGAUAUCACUAGGAAUACCGAAAGCGAAGGCGAUCUCCUGGAACAUAACUGACUCUAAGGCGUGAAAGCGUGGGGAGCAAACAGGAUUAGAUACCCUAGUAGUCC
rnacentral:rRNA from 1 species